CCAAGCAUAUUUAUUUUGGGCUGGAAAAAUAUCCAAUCAAAUUUAUGUUGGGCUUGAAAAAAAGCCAAUCAACACUCCUUUUUUUUAAGUCUAGAAUUUUAAUACAUUUCUUCAUGUUUUUCUUUACCAACCAAUCCUUGAUCUUUGUUUUUCUGCAGUUCCAUUUGGCUUUAACUGCGAUGCAAGACUUGAUUGUCAUUUGCCCUUUUACUAUGAUGCCUAUUCGCAUUUGGAAUGAAAGAAAAAUCAAGAACUUUUCCUUAUUCGGAGACACAGAUCAAGACAUCAUUGCUCUCUCAGAAGGAGAUACCCCUUCUGUAUUGAUGCUGACCAUGCCAAGCCUUCAAAUCAAGCGUACUAUACACAUUCAAGGAAAAGGAUAUCUAAUUGAUAACGCUCACAGCUUGGAUGAUUUCUUGUUUCUAGAAAAGUGCAAGGAUUUGAAUUUAAUACAUGUUAAAUCAGUUGUGGAGAGCAUGCCAGAGUUCCGGUUGGACAGGUUACUAAAAGAGGGAAAUUCGACCAAGCAGAAGCCUUUGGACAGAAGUUCGGUUUGCCGGUAG
rnacentral:lncRNA from 1 species